UACGUAGGUGGCGAGCGUUGUCCGGAUUUACUGGGCGUAAAGGGAGCGUAGGCGGACUUUUAAGUGAGAUGUGAAAUACUCGGGCUCAACUUGAGUGCUGCAUUUCAAACUGGAAGUCUAGAGUGCAGGAGAGGAGAAUGGAAUUCCUAGUGUGGCGGUGAAAUGCGUAGAGAUUAGGAAGAACACCAGUGGCGAAGGCGAUUCUCUGGACUGUAACUGACGCUGAGGCUCGAAAGCGUGGGGAGCAAACAGG
rnacentral:rRNA from 1 species